GUACGCCUACGGGGCGCAGCAGUCGGGAAUAUUGCGCAAUGGAGGAAACUCUGACGCAGUGACGCCGCGUAUAGGAAGAAGGUUUUCGGAUUGUAAACUAUUGUCGUUAGGGAAGAGAAAGGACAGUACCUAAGGAGGAAGCUCCGGCUAACUACGUGCCAGCAGCCGCGGUAAUACGUAGGGGGCACGCGUUAUCCGGAUUUACUGGGUGUAAAGGGAGCGUAGACGGCAUCGCAAGUCUGGAGUGAAAUGCCGGGGCUCAACCCCGGAACUGCUUUGGAAACUGUGCAGCUAGAGUGCGGGAG
rnacentral:rRNA from 1 species